rnacentral:rRNA from 1 species
UACGUAGGGGGCAAGCGUUGUCCGGAAUCAUUGGGCGUAAAGAGCGCGUAGGCGGCCCUGUAAGUCCGCUGUGAAAGUCAAGGGCUCAACCCUUGAAUGCCGGUGGAUACUGCAGGGCUAGAGUCCGGAAGAGGCGAGUGGAAUUCCUGAUGUAGCGGUGAAAUGCGCAGAUAUCAGGAGGAACACCGAUGGCGAAGGCAGCUCGCUGGGACGGUACUGACGCUGAGGUGCGAAAGCGUGGGGAGCAAACAGG